UACGUAGGGGGCGAGCGUUGUCCGGAUUUAUUGGGCGUAAAGAGCUCGUAGGCGGUUUGGUAAGUUGGAUGUGAAAUCUCCAGGCUCAACUUGGAGGGGUCAUUCGAUACUGCCAUGGCUAGAGUUCGGUAGGGGAGUGUGGAAUUCCUGGUGGAGCGGUGAAAUGCGCAGAUAUCAGGAGGAACACCCGUAGCGAAGGCGGCACUCUGGGCCGGAACUGACGCUGAGGAGCGAAAGCGUGGGGAGCGAACAGG
rnacentral:rRNA from 1 species